rnacentral:misc_RNA from 1 species
CUGCCAACUCGUUGAUUGGUGAGGUGUCGCCCA